GCUCAGUAACACGUGGUCAACCUACCUCACGGAGGGGGAUAAUCUCGGGAAACUGAGGAUAAACCCCCAUAGAUAAUGGUGCCUGGAAUGGCCCAUUGUUGAAACAGUUUACUGCCAUGGGAUGGGACUGCGGCCUAUCAGCUUGUUGGUGAGGUAAUGGCCCACCAAGGCUAUAACAGGUACGGGCUCUGAGAGGAGAAGCCCGGAGAUGGGUACUGAGACACGGACCCAGGCCCUAUGGGGCGCAGCAGGCGAGAAACCUUAGCAAUGUGCGAAAGCACGACUGGGUCAGUCCGAGUGAUUCCUGCUAAAGGGAUCUUUUGUCCGUCCUAAAAGCACGGGCGAAUAAGGGGUGGGCAAGUCUGGUGUCAGCCGCCGCGGUAAUACCAGCACCUCGAGUGGUCAGGACGAUUAUUGGGCCUAAAGCAUCCGUAGCUGGUCUUGCAAGUCUCCGGUUAAAUCCACCUGCUCAACAGAUGGGCCGCUGGAGAUACUACAAGACUAGGGAGUGGGAGAGGCAGACGGUAUUCGGGGGGUAGGGGUAAAAUCCUCUGAUCCUUUGAGGACCACCAG
rnacentral:rRNA from 1 species